UACAGAGAUCCCAAGCGUUGUUCGGAUUCACUGGGCGUAAAGGGUGCGUAGGUGGUCGGGUAAGUCUGAUGUGAAAUCUCCGGGCCUAACCCGGAAACUGCAUCGGAUACUAUUCGGCUAGAGGGUUGGAGGGGGGACUGGAAUUCCCGGUGUAGCAGUGAAAUGCGUAGAGAUCGGGAGGAACACCAGUGGCGAAGGCGGCCUUCUGGACCAAUACUGACGCUCAUGCACGAAAGCGUGGGGAGCAAACAGG
rnacentral:rRNA from 1 species